GGGGUAUAGCUCAAUGGCACAGCACUUGCCUAACAUGCAUGAUGCUCUGGGUUCAAUUCCCAGUACCACCA
rnacentral:tRNA from 1 species